CUGUCUCUCUCUUCUUUUCAAUAUCCACAACCAAAAUCUUUCCUUAGUAAUCUCCCUGUAUCUGUAUCACCGAAAACAUCCUUUGAUGGCUCGCUCUCUUUCUGUUUCUCUAACAAAAACAUAUUGCUUAACAUCACCAACGAGAUUCUCUUCUCGUUUGCUUACCCUUAGAGCACAAUCAAACAUUCCUAACAGCAACAGUCCAUCAGAAACUGAUGAUUCCUCUUCUGCCUCUUCGUCAACCGACCCCUUGCUUAGAAAGCUAGAAGAUGCAAUCCAUCGGAUCAUUGUGCGGCGUGCUGCACCUGAUUGGCUACCUUUCUUGCCCGGAUCUUCUUACUGGGUCCCAUCUCCUAGAUCUACAUCUGGCUCUCUUGGGAUUGCUCAUCUCGUUGAGAAAUUGGCUAAUCCUUUGUCCGAUGAGGAGUCCCUUUCCACCACUACUGUUAGAGGAUGGCCCUCCUCUGAUUACUUUGUUAAAGGUGCACCUGCACAUAUGAUGGAGUUAAAGUUGACUUCAAAGGAAGUAGAGUCAGAUACUACUUCAAGUAAUGUGUCUCACUCUGAGGAUGAGGAAGGGUAGAUCAAGAUUCUUACAAAAUUAGCUUCUGGGCUCAUCCAAGCAUGUAAAUUUUGUGUAGAAUCAAGAAAAAGUGAAACAAGUCAAACACCAACUGAAUCACAAUUUGAUCAAACUGGAGCUUUUCAGAUGCGACUUGGUGUGGUAGCAAAUGUGUUGUUUGUGAUGCCCUUUCUAGCUUGCUGGCUAUGGUGUUUUUUAUUUUUAGUUCAGUGUCUCAUGUGCCAUAUGGUCUGGUCUGCUGCUGCAGCUCAUUUUUCCUCUCAGUGCUAUGUUUUUCGGUGCAUUGAAGGUCCUGUGUUCUGUGAUGGUUGGAUGCCUUAAAGGUUCUCUGUGCAGAUUGCAUUUGUUCUUUUCAGCAUCAUGUCUUCUGCAAGCUUAGAUGCAGAUUUGCUGAUGAUUCUUGCUCGAGUUGUUUUUAGCUGUCUUCGUCUUCGGGUUGGUGAUUUGCAGUACCCAAAUCUGGUUUAGUUUGGGUUUUUGUUUCAUCUCUUUGUUUUAAUCACCCGGUUUCUGCUGUAUUUUGCUGCAGAUCAGUCGUGCAUGUUGGCCAUCUCUGUUGACUGUUGCUUCAGCUUAUCUUUCUUUCUUUAUUUGAGCUGCGCUUUUUUA